UGUUCAUUACAAAAGCAGCUGGAAAAAUGCAAGCAGAAAAGACUCUGGAAUAACAUUUGUUGAAAGCAGCCACCAGGGAGAGAACACAUAGCUGCAGAGAAGGAGAAGUCACCAAAUGCCGCACCUCACCUGAGCAGGAGCAGAAGACAAGAGCAGAGCUGCAAAGUAUUGCUGGAUCAUUAUGGACUAGAAAUAAAAUGGGCUACUUGAGAGAGGAGCAGUAGAGCUGAAUACCCACAAACCAGGAUGUGGUGUCUGAAGAAGGCAUCUUACCUCCUUAUAUUUGGGCUGUUAGCUGCAAGGAGUCACACACGACUCUCCACAUGAAAGCUGCUGUGCCCAUUCCAUGUGGAGGAAUUCUGCUGGGACUUUCAGGUGCCAGCCAAGCAAGGAAGUCCUACAUCAGGCCCUGAGAUGGGAGCCCUGGGCAUCAGAGUACAGAGCCCAAGUUGUCAGUGUUUCCUGUCACCCCGAACCUUCUGGCUCCAGGCACUACCAAGCUCCUUUAAUUUUAU